CCUACGGGAGGCAGCAGUGGGGAAUAUUGCACAAUGGGCGCAAGCCUGAUGCAGCCAUUCCGCGUGUAAAAGAAGGCCUUCGGGUUGUAAAGUACUUUCAGCCGAGAGGAAGGCAUUGUGGUUAUAACC
rnacentral:rRNA from 1 species